GGAGAGGUGGCGGAGUUCGGUCGAUCGCGCCGCACUCGAAAUGCGGUAUCUCGCAAGGGAUCGUGGGUUCGAAUCCCACCCUCUCCGCCA
rnacentral:tRNA from 1 species